UACGUAGGUGGCAAGCGUUGUUCGGAUUUAUUGGGUUUAAAGGGUGCGUAGGCGGCCUUAUAAGUCAGUGCUGAAAUAUCCCGGCUUAACCGGGAGGGUGGCAUUGAUACUGUAGGGCUUGAGUAAAGUUGAGGUUGGCGGAAUUGACGGUGUAGCGGUGAAAUGCUUAGAUAUCGUCAAGAACACCGAUAGUGAAGACAGCUAACUAAGCUUUAACUGACGCUGAGGCACGAAAGUGUGGGGAUCAAACAGG
rnacentral:rRNA from 1 species